AUUGAACGCUGGCGGAAUGCUUUACACAUGCAAGUCGAACGGUAACAGGCCGCAAGGUGCUGACGAGUGGCGAACGGGUGAGUAAUGCAUCGGAACGUGCCCAGUCGUGGGGGAUAACGCAGCGAAAGCUGCGCUAAUACCGCAUACGAUCUCUGGAUGAAAGCGGGGGACCGAAAGGCCUCGCGCGAUUGGAGCGGCCGAUGUCAGAUUAGGUAGUUGGUGGGGUAAAGGCCCACCAAGCCAACGAUCUGUAGCUGGUCUGAGAGGACGACCAGCCACACUGGGACUGAGACACGGCCCAGACUCCUACGGGAGGCAGCAGUGGGGAAUUUUGGACAAUGGGCGCAAGCCUGAUCCAGCAAUGCCGCGUGCAGGAAGAAGGCCUUCGGGUUGUAAACUGCUUUUGUACGGAACGAAACGGUCCGGGUUAAUACCCUGGGCUAAUGACGGUACCGUAAGAAUAAGCACCGGCUAACUACGUGCCAGCCGCCGCCGUAA
rnacentral:rRNA from 1 species